AUUGAACGCUGGCGGCAUGCCUUACACAUGCAAGUCGAACGGUAACAGGUCUUCGGAUGCUGACGAGUGGCGAACGGGUGAGUAAUACAUCGGAACGUGCCUAGUAGUGGGGGAUAACUACUCGAAAGAGUGGCUAAUACCGCAUGAGAUCUACGGAUGAAAGCAGGGGAUGGCAAGACCUUGUGCUACUAGAGCGGCCGAUGGAAGAUUAGGUAGUUGGUGGGAUAAAAGCUUACCAAGCCGACGAUCUGUAGCUGGUCUGAGAGGACGAUCAGCCACACUGGGACUGAGACACAGCCCAGACUACUACGGGAGGCAGCAGUGGGGAAUUUUGGACAAUGGGCGAAAGCCUGAUCCAGCAAUGCCGCGUGCAGGAUGAAGGCCUUCGGGUUGUAAACUGCUUUUGUACGGAACGAAAAGCCCCGGGUUAAUACCCUGGGGUCAUGACGGUACCGUAAGAAUAAGCACCGGCUAACUACGUGCCAGCCGCCGCGGUAA
rnacentral:rRNA from 1 species